rnacentral:rRNA from 1 species
GUCGAGCGGAUGAAGAGAGCUUGCUCUCUGAUUCAGCGGCGGACGGGUGAGUAAUGCCUAGGAAUCUGCCUGGUAGCGGGGGACAACGUUUCGAAAGGAACGCUAAUACCGCAUACGUCCUACGGGAGAAAGUGGGGGAUCUUCGGACCUCACGCUAUCAGAUGAGCCUAGGUCGGAUUAGCUAGUUGGUGAGGUAACGGCUCACCAAGGCGACGAUCCGUAACUGGUCUGAGAGGAUGAUCAGUCACACUGGAACUGAGACACGGUCCAGACUCCUACGGGAGGCAGCAGUGGGGAAUAUUGGACAAUGGUCGAAAGCCUGAUCCAGCCAUGCCGCGUGUGUGAAGAAGGCCCUCGGGUCGUAAAGCACUUAAGCUGGGAGGAAGGGUUGUACUAAUACGUUGCAGCUUGACGUUACCAGCAGAAUAAGCACCGGCUAACUCUGUGCCAGCAGCCGCGGUAAUACAGAGGGUGCAAGCGUUAAUCGGAAUUACUGGGCGUAAAGCGCGCGUAGGUGGCUUGGUAAGUUGAAUGUGAAUCCCCGGGCUCAACUGGGAACUGCAUCCAAAACUGCCUGGUAGAGUACGGUAGAGGGUGGUGGAAUUUCU